AAUGAACGUUGGCGGCGUGGAUUAGGCAUGCAAGUCGAGCGCUCAUAGCAAUAUGGGAGCGGCGAACGGCGUAGUAAUACGUAGGAACGUACCCUCGGGUCGAGGAUAGCUAUGGGAAACUGUAGGUAAUACUCGAUAACCUCUGCGGAGCAAAGGUGUGAUUCCGCCCGAGGAGCGGCUUACGCGAUAUUAGCUAGUUGGUAGGGUAAUGGCCUACCAAGGCGAUGAUGUCUAGGGGGUGUGAGAGCAUGGCCCCCACGACCGGAACUGAGAUACUGUCCGGACACCUACGGGUGGCAG
rnacentral:rRNA from 1 species